rnacentral:misc_RNA from 1 species
GAAAUGCGAUAAGUAAUGUGAAUUGCAGAAUUCAGUGAAUCAUCGAAUCUUUGAACGCACCUUGCGCUCCUUGGUAUUCCUUGGAGCAUGCCUGUUUGAGUAUCAUGAAAUCUUCAAAGUAAAUCUUUUGUUAACUCAAUUGGUUUCUACUUUGGUAUUGGAGGUCUUUGCAGCUUCACACCUGCUCCUCUUUGUUCAUUAGCUGGAUCUCAGUGUUAUGCUUGGUUCCACUCGGCGUGAUAAGUUAUCUAUCGCUGAGGACACUGUAAAAGGUGGCCAAGGUAAAUGCAGAUGAACCGCUUCUAAUAGUCCAUUGACUUGGACAAUACUUUUAUGAUCUGAUCUCAAAUCAGGUAGUACUACCCGCUGAACUUCAGC